GCCUGGGUGGCUCAGUCGGUUAAGCAUCUGCCUUCGGCUCAGGUCAUGAUCUCACAGUCCGUGAGUUCGAGCCUCACAUCAGGCU
rfam:Felis catus isolate Cinnamon breed Abyssinian chromosome A2, whole genome shotgun sequence.